GACGAACGCUGGCGGCGUGCUUAACACAUGCAAGUCGAACGGAAAGGCCCUGCUUUUGUGGGGUGCUCGAGUGGCGAACGGGUGAGUAACACGUGAGUAACCUGCCCUUGACUUUGGGAUAACUUCAGGAAACUGGGGCUAAUACCGGAUAGGAGCUCCUGCUGCAUGGUGGGGGUUGGAAAGUUUCGGCGGUUGGGGAUGGACUCGCGGCUUAUCAGCUUGUUGGUGGGGUAGUGGCUUACCAAGGCCUUGACGGGUAGCCGGCCUGAGAGGGUGACCGGCCACAUUGGGACUGAGAUACGGCCCAGACUCCUACGGGAGGCAGCAGUGGGGAAUAUUACACAAUGGGCGGAAGCCUGAUGCAGCAACGCCGCGUGCGGGAUGACGGCCUUCGGGUUGUAAACCGCUUUCGCCUGUGACGAAGCGUGAGUGACGGUAAUGGGUAAAGAAGCACCGGCUAACUACGUG
rnacentral:rRNA from 1 species